GGGUUAGUAGAUUGGUCAUGCCACUGGUAUGUACUGGUCUUACUGACUCCUCCUUCCUGAUGAACCGUAAUGCCAUUAACUUGGUGUUGCGGGGAGACUGGACUGUUACCUUGAAAAAAUUAGAGUGUUUAAAGCAGGCUAACGCUUGAAUACAUUGGCAUGGAAUAAUGAAAUAGGACGUUCGAUCCUAUUUUGUUGGUUUCUAGGAUUGACGUA
rnacentral:rRNA from 1 species